CUCAUCACCAGCCUCAAGCAGAACCUUUCUGCCGUCGAUGCCCCCGUCGUUGUCUUCGGCGGCUCCUACGGUGGCAGUAAGUCCAUCACCGACGCGUCUCCCCAUAUCGCCAAUUAAAUCCAUGUGUGCGACAAUCUUUUUUGAGAGAAAAUUAGGAUGGGCUAAUCUACAAUAAUAAUGUAGUCAGUGUGGAUGCAUCUUCCAAAAAUAAAGUACAGUAAAUGAUUUUAUGCCUGUCGUUUCUAGUGCUGGCUUCAUGGUUCAGGCUCAAGUAUCCCCAUGUCGCCAUAGGAGCACUGGCAUCCUCUGCUCCGAUCCUGCAGUUCUACGACAUCACCCCAUGGUCUAGCUUCAACGACGUUGUCUCGCAGGACUUCAAGGUAAUAAUGGGAAUUAAUCACUACUACUGCAUAACAUCAUCGUGCUUUAACUUCCUCAAAAGUAGGUCAACUAAUUUCUGGAUGGAUGGCCCAGUGUCACUGGUCAAAUUAUUGGUGAUGAUAACGCAUGGCAGAUCAACAUGCUCUGCUCUGGAUACUGAAUUUCACUUGUUGCCACGCCGUGUCGGCUCUGAAUUACUAUUAGUAGUGAAUUUCACUUGUUGUCGUGUUAUCAGUACCCUAGCGGCACAUUAGUGGUUUUCAGUUGUGAAUUAUGAAUUGGUGGUGGCCCUUUUCUUCAUGAGGAUGUAGCUUAACAGAUACGUUUGAUUGGAAUUUUCCAAGAAAAGAACACAUGGAAUUUAAAGUGCGUGAUUGAAAUGGCUAAUGAUGUGGAUGUCUAGGUGAUCAGGACUUACCUUAAUGAGUUCACCAGGUCUAAUGGUUCAUUUUUGGAUUAGCCUGAUUGCGACGCUCAACCGCGCAGAAGGGCUAUCAAUAGGCGGUUGCAAAUAAGGUCCUCACUUGUCCAAAGAUAUGCAAGUUGAUGAUGCCCGGUGACACAACUAUUACGUACUAAUACGGCAGAGACAAGAUAUAACAAGGAAAGGGAAUGAUGAUUCACUUGCUAGUGACAUCUUUGUCUUAUUGAUGCUUGAUUAGUAGCUGUCCCAAGUCAAGUUUCCAAAAAGAUAAAUGUGUUUAAUCAGCUUAUUCUAAGUUUGUAACAUCCAACUAAUUUUGCAGUCUGAGAGCCUGAAUUGCUUCAGUGUCAUCAAGGCAGUUUGGGAUGUGCUAGAUGAGAGGGGAUCAAACGAGACAGGGCUCUUGGAGCUCAGCAAAAACUUCAGGACCUGCAAGUAAGCUUUGUCCAACUGAUAUUGUUUUGGACAUGCAAAUCUCAUCUUGUCAACGAAGGAUAUGGACAUCAUACUUUGGCGAAUCGACAACGAUGACUCAGGUUGGUGACAUUGCUCUAUCUCAUGUAUUUUAGGACAGUGCAUUCCGUUUCUCGUCUGGGGUUGUGGCUAAGGGCAGCAUUCACCACCACUGCCAUGGUGGACUAUCUGUUAGCGGAUAAGCUUGAUAGCUGUAAGUUUGUUAGUAUCUAGCAGGUUGUUAGCUAACUUGUACCAUACGCACAUAUCUCUAAAACCGAUCGUAUCUUCCUGUUGUAAACGAUCGGUGAUGUAACCUGCAUAUAAAUAGCAAUCAGCGCCAUCUGUUUGGAUGUGCGAUCCAAUCUAUCGUGUGUUUUUACAUGGUAACAAGAGCCUAGCUUCGACGCACGUCCAGAAACUCCAUCCCUCGCCGCGAUGUCCACCUCUCCCAACACCUCCGCGUCCACCGCAUCGACAACCAUUAGCUCCCAGCUUUCCGCCACUGCCGGUGCUCUCACCAAUUCCUCUGUCUCAGUUGGGUCGAUGAUGACCGGGCAGGUCGGCGUGCCCAACCUCGCCCAGCUGGUGACGGUGAGACUCUCAAGGAAAAAUCACCUCCUCUGGAAGGCCCAGAUUGUUCCCAUCCUGCGGGGGCAUCAGCUUCUCGGCUUCGUCAACGGCGAGAGCACCCCCCCGGCGCGCCUCAUUCCCGCCUCCACCGCUGAAGGGGCGGAGAUGGCGAUCAACCCAGCCCAUACGGUCUGGCACGCCCAGGACCAGCUGCUCCUUGCCGGGAUCCUCUCCACACUCUCGCCCGACAUCAUUGCGCGCACGCUGAACUUCACGACAUCGGCGCAGAUAUGGGCAGCACUCGAGCGCAUGUACGCCUCGCAGUCUCGCUCCAGGAUCAUGCAGCUUAAGAGGCAGCUUACGCACGCCCAGAAAAAGGACAUGAACAUGGCUGAUUAUUUUGGCCAUGUCAAGGGUCUCGCUGACCAGCUUGCUGCGGCCGGCAGCCUCGUCUCCGAGACUGAUGUGAUCGACUACAUGUUCACAGGCCUUGAUAACUCGUACGACGCCCUCGUCACAUCGAUCAAUCUGCUGCUGGCCAACGGUGGCAUCUCUCUCGAUGAAGUGUACUCGCACAUGCUGGAUUACGAGGCGCGUCAAGACAAUGCCAACACCGGCUAUCAGUUGUCAGCCAAUCUUGCGGGACAAGGCAACGGCGCUCGAGGCGGCGGCAACGGUGGAGGUGGCUCCUCUGGCGGCAGCGGCGGCCGCAAUCGCAACAAUGAUGGCCGGAACCAGCAGGGAGGCAACCGUCGCAACGGCGGCAACAGCGGCGGCGGCGGUAACUCUGCUGCAGGCAACGGCUCCAAUGGCCAACCAGCCGGCGGUCACCAAGGCGGCUACAACAGGAGGAACUCCAACUCCGAUCGUCCGCGGGUGCCAUGCCAAAUCUGCAACAAGCUCGGCCACUCUGCAAGGACCUGUUAUGAUCGCUACAACCACAACUCCCAGCAGGAGGAUGCACGUUUCGCCAACAACAUCUCUACCGGCUCUCCGGCACUUGACCCAGCGUGGUACAUGGACUCCGGCGCCACCGACCACAUCACCGGCGACUUAGACAAGCUGCACAUGCGUGAGCAGUACACCGGCAAGGACCAAGUGCAUACAGCAAAUGGAACUGGUAUGGCUAUUACUCAUGUUGGAAAAGCCCUUCUUCCUACACCGCAUGCACCUCUUGUCCUUAACAAUGUUCUUCAUGUUCCACAUACCACAAAAAAUCUUUUAUCUACUGAUCGACUCACCUCUGAUAACAAUGUUUGCGUUGAAAUUCAUCCUCUUUAUUUUCUUGUCAAGGAUCGAGCUUCGAAGAGGGUUCUUCUUCACGGACCUAGCGAAGGUGGUCUCUAUCCAGUUCGUCCCAUGCAACCAAGUAGGAAUAAAACGGCGUUCUCUGCCGUCACCAAGCCCAGUCAUGAUCGGUGGCACUGUCGACUCGGUCACCCCUCCUCACGGAUAGUAGAUCAUGUCUUAGGUCAUUUUAAUCUUCAGUUUAAUCGUGAGUCAAAUAAAGCACAUGUAUGUGAUGCAUGUCAGCAAGGGAAGAGUCACCAACUUCCUUAUGCCAGUUCUUCUAGGGUCACUUCAUUUCCUCUUGAGCUUAUUUUCUCUGACGUUUGGGGGCCUGCGUGCACCUCGUCAGGAGGUUUUAGCUACUAUGUGAGCUUCAUAGAUGAUUUUAGCAAAUUCACUUGGUUGUUCUGUCUUAAGCAUAAAUCCGAUGUUUUCAAUAUCUUUCAUCGCUUUCAAUCUCAUGUCGAACGUCUCCUUAAUCGGAAAAUCUUGCAGAUUCAGACCGACUGGGGAGGGGAGUACCGUAAGCUUAAUACUUUCUUCCAAAACAUCGGCAUUGAACACCACUUAUCCUGCCCACACACACACCAACAAAACGGGUCAGCGGAAAGAAAACACCGCCAUGUCGUCGAAACUGGCCUCACCUUGCUCGCCCAAGCUUCCAUGCCAUUACGAUUUUGGGAUGAUGCGUUUCAUACCGCAUGUUUUUUGAUCAAUCGUCUUCCUACCCGUACUAUUAAUAUGAAUACCCCCCUGCAACGCUUAUUUGGCACCGCUCCAGACUAUACUUUCCUUCGUACUUUUGGCUGUGCCUGUUGGCCGUGCCUUCGCCCCUACAACAAUCAUAAACUCCAGUUUAGGUCCAAGCGUUGCGUCUUUCUCGGGUACAGUAGCACACACAAGGGUUACAAAUGCCUUCAUGUUUCGUCUGGCAGGGUGUAUAUCUCGCGGGAUGUUGUAUUCGAUGAGCAGUCUUUUCCCUAUGCUGAUCCAUCCAAAUCAGACUCACUACCCCCGUCAUAUGACGAGCUUCGUCUACUUGCUCCACCUAAAGUUUUUGAUCCUGUCAUAUCAACCGCUGCGGUGGAAGAAGAACCUUCUCCUAUGGGUGAUACUGUACCUAUUUCAUCUAAUGUAACGCAUGAGGAUCCUUGUUUGGUUUCUCUUUCUCCUGUGCAGGCGCCUACAUCAACAGUGCCAUGCAGCCGAUGUGAUCUCGUCAUGCAGGAACCAGCCAGGGCGUCAUCCGGCCCAACUGACUCGGUUUUGGCUUCCCCCGUUCGGGCGACUACGCCUGGACCAGUCUCGCCCGCUCGGCUGGCCUCUGCUGAGCCGGCUGCCUCUCCACCACCGGUGUCCGACUCCGACUCCUUCGAGCUCCUUCAGCAGCCGGUUUCGCAGAUUGAAGUGCGCGCACCCGCUCCAGCCGAUGCGUCUCGUCGGUAUGCCACUCGCCUUUGCGACGGCACUCGCCGUGAGAAGGUGCGCACCGACGGCACCAUACCAUAUGGUCCACAACGACGACGGCGGCAAGUUUCGCUGGCCAUGGUUGAACCCGCCAAUCAUCUUGAUGCUCUUGCGGACCCUCAUUGGCGGUCCGCCAUGGACGUGGAAUACCAGGCGUUGCUCAAGAACCAGACCUGGCACCUCGUUCCUCGGCCUCCUCGCUGCAACCUCAUCGACUGCAAAUGGGUUUUCAAACUCAAGUAUCGUGCCGAUGGCUCCAUUGAUCGUCAUAAGGCUCGUCUCGUCGCCAAAGGGUUCAAGCAACGCCAUGGCAUCGACUAUACAGAGACAUUCAGUCCAGUAAUUAAGCACACCACUAUUCGCCUGGUUAUUUCUCUUGCAGUUUCACGUGGUUGGGUGCUUCGCCAAUUGGACGUGCAGAAUGCGUUCCUCCACGGCAUUCUCGAAGAAGAUGUAUACAUGAAGCAACCACCAGGAUAUGUUGAUCCACAGCUUCCGCAGCACGUGUGCAAAUUGGACAAAUCACUAUAUGGUCUUAAACAAUCCCCCCGGGCCUGGUUCUCUCGGCUGAGUGCAAAGCUUCAGGAGCUUGGUUUCCAUCCCUCUCUUGCUGACACGUCCCUGUUUAUCUAUCAUCAAGGGGGCGUAUGUAUGUACAUGCUGAUCUACGUCGAUGAUAUCAUCAUUACCGGUUCGUCGUCGAAAGCGCUCACAUCACUUGUCCAUAGUCUGCAUGAACCUUUCGCCCUGAAGGACCUAGGCGACCUCCACUAUUUUCUGGGAAUUGAGGUGCAGCGCCAGGGGGAGUCUAUACUUCUGAAACAGGCCAAAUAUACAGCUGAUCUUUUGAGAAAAGCAGGUAUGACAUAUUGCAAGCCAGUUACUUCACCAAUGUCCACCUCUGAAACUUUGUCUCGUGAAGGAGGACAACUUCUGUCACCCGAAGCAGCCACGAGAUAUCGGAGUAUUGUAGGGGCACUACAAUAUCUGACUUUGACACGUCCGGACAUUAGUUACGCCGUGAACAAAGUAUGCCAAUAUCUCCACUCGCCCGCAGAAGCACACUGGACGGCAGCAAAACGCAUCCUGCGAUACCUGAGACACACAUCAGGCAUAGGACUGAAAAUCAGCAAGUCUACAUCCACUUUGCUUAGUGUGUUUUCAGACGCUGACUGGGCUGGAUCGACCGAUGACAGGCGCUCUACCAGUGGCUUCGUAUUAUUUUUCGGCUCUAAUCUGGUGUCUUGGAGCGCGAGAAAACAGGCUACGGUAUCUCGGUCAAGUACAGAGGCCGAAUACAAGGCGCUGGCAAACGCAACAGCAGAGCUGAUUUGGCUUCAAAUUCUACUCGGCGAGCUCGGCAUACGGCAAUGGAGACCGCCAGUGUUGUGGUGCGACAACAUAGGAGCGACGUACUUGUCAGCCAAUCCGGUAUUCCAUGCACGCACCAAACAUAUCGAGGUUGAUUUCCACUUUGUUCGGGAGCGAGUAGCUCGCAAGGCAUUGGACAUACGAUUCGUGUCGUCCCAAGAUCAGCUUGCCGAUGGCCUGACCAAACCGAUUGGCGCAGCACAGCUCCGACUUCUGCGACACAAUCUCAAUCUCUCGGGAGCUGAGAUUGAGGGGGAGUGUUAGCGGAUAAGCUUGAUAGCUGUAAGUUUGUUAGUAUCUAGCAGGUUGUUAGCUAACUUGUACCAUACGCACAUAUCUCUAAAACCGAUCGUAUCUUCCUGUUGUAAACGAUCGGUGAUGUAACCUGCAUAUAAAUAGCAAUCAGCGCCAUCUGUUUGGAUGUGCGAUCCAAUCUAUCGUGUGUUUUUACACUAUCCAACCCCAGCCAAUUUCAUGAUGAAUCUGCCUGCUUAUCCUGUGAAGGAGGUUAGCCUCAAGCAGAACCUCUCCGCCGUCAACGCUCCCGUCAUCGUCUUUGGUGGCUCCUAUGGCGGCAGUAUGUCCAUCACCGACACGUCUCCCCAUAUCGCCAAUUAUAUCCAUGCGUGUGAUAAUUUUUUUGAGAGAAAAUUAGGAUGAGCUAAUCUACACUAAUAAUGUUGUCAGUGUGGAUGGAUCUUCCAAAAAUAAAGUAC
rnacentral:lncRNA from 1 species